rnacentral:misc_RNA from 1 species
GAUGAAGAACGCAGCAAAAUGCGAUAAGUAAUGUGAAUUGCAGAAUUCAGUGAAUCAUCGAAUCUUUGAACGCACAUUGCGCCCGGUGGUAUUCCGGCGGGCAUGCCUGUUCGAGCGUCAUUUCAACCCUCAAGCCCCCGGGUUUGGUGUUGGGGAUCGGCUCUGCCUUCUGGCGGUGCCGCCCCCGAAAUACAUUGGCGGUCUCGCUGCAGCCUCCAUUGCGUAGUAGCUAACACCUCGCAACUGGAACGCGGCGCGGCCAUGCCGUAAAACCCCAACUUCUGAAUGUUGACCUCGGAUCAGGUAGGAAUACCCGCUGAACUUAAGCAUAUCAAUAAGCGGAGGA